rnacentral:rRNA from 1 species
GGGUAAGUAGGUUGGUCGUGCCACCGGUACGUACUGGUCUCACUGAUUCCUCCUUCCUGAAGAACCGUAACGCAAUUAAUUUGGUGUUGCGGGGAAACAGGACUGUUACUUUGAAAAAAUUAAAGUGUUUAAAGCAAGCUAACGCUUGAAUACAUUAGCAUGGAAUAAUGAAAUAGGACGAUCGAUCCUAUUUUGUUGGUUUCUAGGAUUGACGUA